CAGCCGCCGCGGUAAUACCGGCGGCCCGAGUGGCGGUCACUAUUAUUGGGCUUAAAGCGUCCGUAGCCGGGUUGGGAAGUCCUCCGGGAAAUCUGGCCGCUUAACGGUCAGAAUGCCGGAGGAUACUCCCAGCCUAGGGAGCGGGAGAGGCCGAGGGUAUUCCCGGAGUAGGGGUGAAAUCCUAUAAUCCCGGGAGGACCACCUGUGGCGAAGGCGCUCGGCUGGAACGCGUCCGACGGUGAGGGACGAAGGCCAGGGGAGCAAACCGGAUUAGAUACCCGGGUAGUCCUGGCUGUAAACGAUGCGGACUAGGUGUCACCGAAGCUACGAGCUUCGGUGGUGCCGGAGGGAAGCCGUUAAGUCCGCCGCCUGGGGAGUACGGCCGCAAGGCUGAAACUUAAAGGAAUUGGCGGG
rnacentral:rRNA from 1 species